GGCCUGCGUAUUUGUGGGACAGCUGUAGACUGAUGGAAAGUUCUUAGCCGGAGAUGGAGGCAUUGCAGGGAGCUGACACCCGGUCAAGAGGCUUGGAGAGAGUUGAUCUGCGAGAGAGGUGGCAGAGGCAAAAGACCAAAACAGCCCAUUCAAGUGCAAAGAAACAACCCUGAGACCCAACUGUGAUGAGUAUUGGAGGUGUGGUGGAGCACUCAGUUCCUGUUGGAAGCCUGGGAUGGAGGCUGUGCUCAUCAUGAUGGGCCAAGAAGCAGGAAAGCAAACAAGGAAUCAGCUCACUCACAGAUGUGCUAGUACUUUGUUAGCCUUUAUUGAAUGAUGCCCCUAAAUAUCAGCAGCAUGAACUGUUGAUAAAUGAGCUGUG
rnacentral:lncRNA from 1 species